UUUGAUGCAUGGAAAAAAAACUAUUUUCAUUUAAUAUUUUGAAACUUUCAAACAUAUAACAUGUUAGAACAAAAAAAAUUGUUUCAUUUAUAAAAAUUAUACUAAGUACAUGAAGAAAUACCAGAUUUUAUGGUGCCACAUAUGAGAAAUAUGUAUAUACAUUAGAAUUGUUAUCGUCACAUAGAUCAAUAAGCAGAAAAAUAGAAGCUUAAAAAUAAGAUUUAUUCCAUUUGAAAAAUCUGAAAAGUAAAACCAAAUCACCUGUAGAAUAAAAUUAGCACAACAUUUUUUUUAAAGCAUAGAUUUUGAUGCAAGGAAAAAAAAACUAUUUUCAGUUAGUAUUUUGAAACUUUCAAACAUAUAACAAGUUAG